UGCGUAGGCGGUUUGUUAAGUCAUUUGUAAAAGAUCUCAGCCCAACUGAGUAAGGCGAAUGAAACUGGCAGACUUGAGUACGGUAGAGGUAAGUGGAAUUCCAUGUGUAGCGGUGGAAUGCGUAGAUAUAUGGAGGAACACCAAUGGCGAAGGCAGCUUACUGGGCCGGAACUGACGCUGAGGCACGAAAGCGUGGGGAGCAAACA
rnacentral:rRNA from 1 species